rnacentral:lncRNA from 1 species
GAGGAUUGUUUGGAUUCACAGUGUUGGGGGUACAGUCCACUGAGGCCCAGGGAAUGGCUGCUGGCCGUGUGGUCAGGAAGCACAGUGAGGCAUGCACAUGUUCUUUUCGCUUCCUCUUUCUAAACAGUACCAGUUCUUCGAGAGUUUCAUGCAGCAUAUCUGGUCCUGUUCGUUCUACUGUUCAGUCCCACUCCGGCUCCCACACCACCCCAACUUUGUGUCCUCUCUUUCUUUUUUAACAACCCAUCAACUCCAGUUUAUGCUGCUCAUACCCCCUGGUAUGGAUGCGGCUGUCCACUGGAGCUCGAUCAACUUCCUAGGAGCCACACCCUUAAAGAAAGCCGACUGCCCACAAGCCACCAUGCAUCAGUCCACAGUUCCUCAGUUAGGGGUGGAGGCUCAUGAACCCCUCCCCACCGCAUGCUACAGCGUUGAGUUCCUUGCUCUUGGGUAGUGGGUUCCUGAGCACAGAAGGCCCCCCGUUUGCCAGUUGCAAAUGCCAGUUGCAAAUGCCAGUUGCGCAUUUCUUUUGCCUAUGUAAAUAAAUAUGGUGCCAGCAUUUUAAAAGGUACUACUGUUAAAAGUAUCCACAUUAAUAAAGAAGUGUGUGCUUCAUUAGCAUAAUUUUCAUAUUAGCUCCCCGCUUACUAGUACUAAAUUUUAGGUGUUGGAAACACAGGAUUUGAUUGUAGUAAAACUAUUAUUAUCAUAACUAUCUACAAAAUUGAUAGUUUUAAAUUAAAUUACCUUUGCACAUAGCCACAUAAACUCUCACAUUUGGAUGCAAUAUGCAUCUACCUUGUGUUUAAAAACAUUUUAUAAUCUCACCACUUUAAGAAUCUUCAGUAUAAUUUAUGCAAAAUAUUUGAAAGAAAAAACAAAUAUGCAUUUCAAUGCACAACUUCCAUUGAGGGGGGAAAAAUUCCCUGGUGGUUUGAAUGAGAACGGCUCCCAUAGGCUCAUGCUUUUGAAUGUCUGGUUAGUGGAACUGUUUGGAAAGGAUUAGGAGGCGUGGCCUUGUUGGAGGAGAUAAGCCACUGGGGCUGGGCUAUGAGGUUUCAGAAGCCCCCACCAGACCCAGUCUCACUCAGCUUUUUGAGCAGAAGAGAACUCUCAGUUGCUGCUCCAGUGUCAUGCUUGUCUGCUGCUGUGCGCCUGGCCUUGAAGAUCAUGGACUAACCCUCUGCAACUGUAAAGUGAGCCCCCAACUGAAUGCUUCCCUCUGUGAGUUGCCUUGGUUACAGUGUCUCUUCACAGCAAUGGAACAGUGGCUGAGACAAGGUCUACCAAAAGCCAUCUUGUUUGAGGCAAAAUAAAUAUGCGCUUUAUAUUUUGUUCUUUAA